rnacentral:rRNA from 1 species
AUUGAACGCUGGCGGCAGGCCUAACACAUGCAAGUCGAGCGGAUGAAGGGAGCUUGCUCCUGGAUUCAGCGGCGGACGGGUGAGUAAUGCCUAGGAAUCUGCCUGGUAGUGGGGGAUAACGUCCGGAAACGGGCGCUAAUACCGCAUACGGCCUGGGGGAGAAAGUGGGGGAUCUUCGGACCUCACGCUAUCAGAUGAGCCUAGGUCGGAUUAGCUAGUUGGUGGGGUAAAGGCCUACCAAGGCGACGAUCCGUAACUGGUCUGAGAGGAUGAACAGUCACACUGGAACUGAGACAUGGUCAAGACUCCUACGUGAGGCAGCAGUUGCGAAUAUUGGACAAUGCGCGAAACCCUGCUCCAGCCAUGCCGCGUGUGUGAAGAAGGUCUUCGGACUUUAACGCACUCUAAGUUGUGAGGAAGGUCAGUAAGUUAAUACCUUGCUGUUUUGACGUUACCAACAGAAUAAGCACCGGCUAACUUCGUG